rnacentral:rRNA from 1 species
GACGUAGGGCGCGAGCGUUGUCCGGAUUUAUUGGGCGUAAAGAGCUCGUAGGCGGCUUGUUGCGUCGACUGUGAAAACCCGCGGCUUAACUGCGGGCUUGCAGUUGAUACGGGCAGGCUAGAGUUCGGUAGGGGAGACUGGAAUUCCUGGUGUAGCGGUGAAAUGCUCAGAUAUCAGGAGGAACACCGGUGGCGAAGGCGGGUCUCUGGGCCGAUACUGACGCUGAGGAGCGAAAGCGUGGGGAGCGAACAGG